GUGUUCGAGUUUGCCAUUCGUUUGGCCUUUUCGAGUUCGCUUUUGGGUUUUCCCUUUUUACUUUGAGAAAAUUAGAGUGCUUCAAGCAGACUUUUGUCUUGAAUACUUCAGCAUGGAAUAAUAGAGUAGGACUUUGGUUCUAUUUUGUUGGUUAUUGAACCUUAGUAAUGGUUAAUAGGAACGGUUGGGGGCAUUCGUAUUUAACUGUCAGAGGUGAAAUUCUUAGAUUUGUUAAAGACGAACUACUGCGAAAGCAUUUGCCAAGGACGUUUCCAUUAAUCAAGAACGAAAGUUAGGGGAUCGAAGACGAUCAGAUACCGUCGUAGUCCUAACCAUAAACCAUGCCGACUAGUGAUUGGAGGUCGUCGUUUUGCUGACCCCUUCAGGAACUUGAGAGAAAUCAAAGUCUUUGGGUUCUGGGG
rnacentral:rRNA from 1 species